rnacentral:antisense_RNA from 1 species
UUGACGGUGAAGUCCCAGACGCCCUGCGGACCGGCCAGGCACUGGCCGCCGAAGUGGUCGCCGUCGGCGAGCACGCCGAGCACGGUCUGGUCGCCGUACUCGGUCUCGCCGAUCUUGUUGACCCGGCCGUGCGCGACCAGGUGCACGGCGUCCUGGGUGCGCCCGCGCUCCACGACGACCUCGCCCGCGGCGAACUCGCGCUGCUUGAAGCGGGAGGCGAGCGCGGCCAGCACGGCCACGUCCUCGAACCCGCGCAGCAGCGGCAGCUCGCACAGCUCCUGCGGCACGACCUGCACGGCGGCGCCGGUGUUGGUGAAGGUCAGCCUGCCGUCGCCGACCGCGUAGCUGAGCCUGCGGUUGACCCGGAACGCGCCACCGGCCGCCUGCUCCCACGGCAGGACCUUGAGCAGCCACCGCGAGGUGAUGUUCUGCAUCUGCGGGGCGGACUUGGUGGUGGUCGCGAGGUUGCGGGCAGCCGCAGUGCCGAGGCUCAGCUGAGGGCGCUCGG